UUGGAGGGCAAGUCUGGUGCCAGCAGCCGCGGUAAUUCCAGCUCCAAUAGCGUAUAUUAAAGUUGUUGCAGUUAAAAAGCUCGUAGUUGAACUUCGGGGUCUACCCAUUGGUCAGGCUUAAUUGUCUGUACUGGUGAGAUGGAUCUCUACCUUCUGAGGAACUUUCAUGCCAUUUAUUUGGUGUGAUGGGAAAUCAGGACUGUUACUUUGAAAAAAUUAGAGUGUUUAAAGCAGACUAUCGUCUGAAUACAUUAGCAUGGAAUAAUGAAAUAGGACGGACUGAUUCUAUUUCGUUGGUUUCUAGGAUCACCGUAAUGAUUAAUAGGGAUAGUUGGGGGCAUUAGUAUUCAAUUGUCAGAGGUGAAAUUCUUGGAUUUAUUGAAGACUAACUACUGUGAAAGCAUUUGCCAAGGAUGUUUUCAUUAAUCAAGAACGAAAGUUAGGGGAUCGAAGACGAUCAGAUACCGUCGUAGUCUUAACCAUAAACUAUGCCGACUAGGGAUCGGACGAAGUUAAUUUUAUAAUGACGCGUUCGGCGCCUUACGGAAAC
rnacentral:rRNA from 1 species